rnacentral:rRNA from 1 species
GACGAACGCUGGCGGCGUGCUUAACACAUGCAAGUCGAACGGAAAGGCCCUGCUUUUGUGGGGUUCUCGAGUGGCGAACGGGUGAGUAACACGUGAGUAACCUGCCCUUGUCUUUGGGAUAACUUCAGGAAACUGGGGCUAAUACCGGGUAGGAGCUCCUGCUGCAUGGUGUGGGUUGGAAAAUUUCGGCGGUUGGGGAUGGACUCGCUGCUUAUCCGCUUGUUGGUGUGGUAGUUGCUUACCAAGGCUUUGACGGGUAGCCGGCCUGAGAGGGUGACCGGCGACAUUGCGACUGAGAGACGGACCAGACGGCUACGGGAGGCAGCAGUGGGGAAUAUGGCACAAUGGGCGGAAGCCUGAUGCAGCAACGCCGCGUGCGGGAUGACGGCCUUCGGGUUGUAAACAGCUUUCGAAGGUGACGAAGAGUGAGUGACGGUAAUGGGUAAAGAAGCACCGGCUAACUACGUG